rnacentral:rRNA from 1 species
UUGAACGCUGGCGGUAUGCUUUACACAUGCAAGUCGAACGGGCUAUGGGGCUUGCUCCAUAGUUAGUGGCGAACGGGUGAGUAAUAUAUCGGAACAUAUCCGGAAGUGGGGGAUAACGUAGCGAAAGUUACGCUAAUACCGCAUAUGCCCUGAGGGGGAAAGGGGGGGAUCGCAAGACCUCUCGCUUUCGGAGUGGCCGAUAUCGGAUUAGCUAGUAGGUGAGGUAAAGGCUCACCUAGGCGACGAUCCGUAGCUGGUCUGAGAGGACGACCGGCCACACUGGAACGGAGACACGGUCCAGACUCCUACGGGAGGCAGCAGUGGGGAAUUUUGGACAAUGGGCGAAAGCCUGAUCCAGCCAUACCGCGUGAGUGAAGAAGGCCUGCGGGUUGUAAAGC